ACAGAUUCCAUACAAAUAUAAUUUCAGAAGGGAAUUAUAUUUUCAAAAUACCAAAGAGUAAAAUUCUUGCAAAUUAAGAUGGUUUUGUGUAUGAAUAAGCAAUGCUUUUAGGUGAUUAAAUCCUCAGUUCAAAGCACUGGCACUGAUUAACGGUUUCUGUUGGGUACUAUUUACAAGAAAUCACCUCAGCAGGGUGCCCAUGUCCAGUUUCAUAAUCACAUAGUACACCCGCCCCACAGGAUUACGUUCCGGGCAAGUUUGAAUGUUAAGUUGAAUUUCAUUCUCUUCAGGAAGUGACUUUUACUCAAGAUUGAAUACAGCUGUUAGUACAGACCACUGUUUCUUCCACUUCUAUGAGAACUGGAAGAAAACACCAUUUUAAGAAUUGCAAAUUCACUUUCAUUAUUCCAGAUCCGUGCAACUACAUCGGAGGGGCUUCUUUGGUUCCUGAUAGUUGAAUUAAAUUUUUAUAUAUAUUCAAAAGAAAACAUACUGGAUGGUUGAAAGAUGGCUAUAAGACUUUCCAAGUACUUUUGUAGCCUAAAUAUUUUUUAUAAUCAAAGGAUCAGUUUGUUUGUAACAGAUUUAGUGCUGGUUUUUUGUUUCAAAAAUCAAUGUUAUCCUAACACUUGAUUUUUUUUUCUUAAAUUCCACUGUCUCAUACAACUUGGUGUUCUCUUUAUAUUCACAGAAAUGAAGUCUGGCAAAUCAAGUGGGGCCUCAACAGAGGAAAUGCUGCCAGCUAAAACACCGGAUGUAAUCGAGACCACAAGAGACGCGUACUUGGUUAUACACAUCGAGCUGAAAAGAGGAUGAAGAACCAAAUCUUCCACACAUGACCCAUGAAUCCUUGCAAGAGUUGAUGCCUGUCUACCCCUCCAGCACCGUUCUCUUCCCACCCACUGUGUUUCAGCCCAAAGGGAUGCAAACUUGGAUGUACACCAGAUCCAUUUAGGGGCAGUAUUCAAGUGGCCUGAAAGCAUACUGUGUGGUGAGAAAUACCAAUCUGUUCUGUGCCAUUUAUCACAGAUAACAGGUAAGUAGACACUAAAGCAUUUGUGCUUCAGACUUUCUAAGUUCACAACAAGCCAAGUUCUACAGAGCAAUAGCCAGCACACGACUCCUGUCCUCUACUCCUUCUCAUGUCUUUUGUCCAGGCAUCUCAAGGUAGCAGCCCUGAAGAGACCUUUUUUAACCUAUAAUUUAACAUCUCACACCAAUCAGAUUGGGAUAGGAAGUGUUAGUCACUCAGUCA